AGCAGCCGCGGUAAUUCCAGCUCCAAUAGCGUAUAUUAAAGUUGUUGCAGUUAAAAAGCUCGUAGUUGAAUUUCGGGGUUAGUAGGUUGGUCGUGCCACUGGUACGUACUGGUCUCACUGACUCCUCCUUCCUGAUGAACUGUAAUGCCAUUAAUUUGGUGUUGCGGGGAAACUGGACUGUUACUUUGAAAAAAUUAGAGUGUUUAAAGCAAGCUAACGCUUGAAUACAUUAGCAUGGAAUAAUGAAAUAGGACGUUCGAUCCUAUUUUGUGGUUUCUAGGAUUGACGUAAUGAUUAAUAGGGAUAGUUGGGGCAUUAGUAUUCAAUUGUCAGAGGUGAAAUUCUUGGAUUUAUUGAAGACUAACUACUGCGAAAGCAUUUGCCAAGGAUGUUUUCAUUAAUCAAGAACGAAAGUUAGGGGAUCGAAGACGAUCAGAUACCGUCGUAGUCUUAACCAUAAACUAUGCCGACUAGGGAUCAGAUGAUGUUAAUUUUUUAUGUACUCAUUCGG
rnacentral:rRNA from 1 species